rnacentral:misc_RNA from 1 species
GUAGGUGAACCUGCGGAAGGAUCAUUAGUGAAUUAGUAGCGCAGCUCUUUGGAGCGCGUGACCCUCCACUCUUUAUAACAUUGUGCACUCUUCGGCAGGAAACGAGAAGAAAGUAUUUUCUUUCUCCUUCCUGCGGCUCACUUUUUUUAAAACACAAGUUUAAAGUAUGUACACACACCCAAUAAACUAAAAUAAAACUUUCAACAACGGAUCUCUUGGCUCUC